rnacentral:snRNA from 1 species
GUACUUGCUUCAGCAGUACAUAUGCUAAAAUUGGAACAAUACGGAGAAGAUCAGCAUCACCCCUGCACAAAGAUGACACACAAAUUCAUGGAGUGUUACACACUUAA